UGACAGUACUCCUACGGGGAGGCAGCAGUGGGGGAAUAUUGCACAAUCGGGCGCAAGCCUGAUGCAGCCAUGCCGCGUGUGUGAAGAAGGACCUUCGGGGUUGUUAAAGCAACUUUCAGUCGUGAGGAAGGUAGUGUAGUUAAUAGCUGCAUUAUUUGACGUUAGCGACAGAAGAAGCACCGGCUAACUCCGUGCCAGCAGCCGCGGUAAUACGGAGGGUGCGAGCGUUAAUCGGAAUUACUGGGCGUAAAGCGCAUGCAGGUGGUUUGUUAAGUCAGAUGUGAAAGCCCGGGGCUCAACCUCGGAAUAGCAUUUGAAACUGGCAGACUAGAGUACUGUAGAGGGGGGUAGGAAUUUCAGGUGUAGCGGUGAAAUGCGUAGAGAUCUGAAGGAAUACCGGUGGCGAAGGCGGCCCCCUGGACAGAUACUGACACUCAGAUGCGAAAGCGUGGGGAGCAAACAGGAUUAGAUACCCUGGUAG
rnacentral:rRNA from 1 species